rnacentral:rRNA from 1 species
AUGAACGCUGGCGGCGUGCCUAAUCCAUGCAAGUCGAGCGAACAGACGAGGAGCUUGCUCCUCUGACGUUAGCGGCGGACGGGUGAGUAACACGUGGAUAACCUACCUAUAAGACUGGGAUAACUUCGGGAAACCGGAGCUAAUACCGGAUAAUAUAUUGAACCGCAUGGUUCAAUAGUGAAAGACGGUUUUGCUGUCACUUAUAGAUGGAUCCGCGCCGCAUUAGCUAGUUGGUAAGGUAACGGCUUACCAAGGCAACGAUGCGUAGCCGACCUGAGAGGGUGGGCGCCCACCAUAGAACGGGACCGCGCACCGGACAACGCGGGGAGGAAGCAGGAGGGAAUCUGCGGAAAGGGGCGAAAGCCUGACGGAGAAACCCCGGGUGAGAGAGAAAGGUCUUCGGAACGUAAACCUGUUUUAUUGGGAAAGAACAAAUGUGUAAGUAAAUAAGCCGUUCUUGAGGGUACCGAAACAGAAAGCAGCGGCUACGUCCGUG